AAAAACCUAAAGCACAGGACUUGUUAUUAAUAUAUAAUAAUUAUACCACUGUGCGCAAAAAACGGCCACACAUACACAGAAACUGUUGCAGGCCGGUAAAUGGCACUACAUCUGGAAAAGUCAUUUUUACUGGAACCAAUGAAAAGGCAUAAACCACUUACUGCUGUUUGUGUCCGGGCCACGCGGCGUCUCCUUUGGGUAUAGGACAGGGUGGUCAGAUGUUGAGGUCACUGAGAAACUCUUUACGAACCCACACAAGCCCUCGAGUUCAGGAGCAGAGGGCAGCAAGGGGCCGUAAGGGGGCGGAGCCAGUCACCAUGGUCUCUACACUGGAUUGGUUCCAAAACCCCGUCUUUGGAUUGGCUGGCGUGAUGCAUUUUACACAACUAUAGAAGCCCAUUUCCGCACUAAUAUGUUCAACUCUAUAUAACCCAUUGCUGCAUAACCCAGGCAGAUUGCAGCCUCCUCGGCUCUCUCUCCAUCGGCCCUGACACGUCCUCAUUCAGCCAUUAUUCAUCCUGUUGCUGCUCCCCAUCAAUCCCCCGCCGGCACAAUGGCCCGUGACAGCAGCACCGACAGGCCCGUGACAGGUCUGUGCCACCCGGGAGGCCUGUCCCAGCCAGCCAGCCCACGACGCCGGAGAGGACAAACAGACGUGAACAUGCACAGCUCACCCCCCCCCCUCAUCCGCCCCUCACCCACCCACUUCCCAAACCUAGUUGGCGCCUGGCUGUUCAGCCCCACCCUCUUACCUGCCUGCAGGCCUGGAUUACAUCCUCCGCAUCGUACUGUACAAACACGGCCGAGGGGCUCUGACUCCGGCAUUGUCGGCCUCUCUGUCGGCAUGCCGCUUCGGUCUAGACUGCUAGACCUCGGCAGCUAAAUGGGGGGGGACGCGGGGGGGUUGCCAAGAAAUUAUCCCCAGGGGAUGAAGCUUGCUGACUUUGGAAAUCCUCUGACUUUUUUUCUGUAGUGCCACCAUGAGGACAUUAAAUGGAGUUUUUCAAUUGAAGUUCUCCGUAGGUUACAUCAUUGCAUCAAUGACUCUUUAAGUGGUCCCGGGAAACUGCAGGUUUUUGACCAGGUUCCUUUAAAGAUAAAAAGCCUUUCACAAUAUGACAUCCUUCAACAAUCUGUCGUCUUCAUUACGGCCUUUUUCUCUUGUGAUUUUGAAUCUCCAGUAGCUUUGUUUCACGGUUCAUACCAUGAGCCUUUAGUUUCUAACCAUUUUGCCAAACCACAAACCAACCAUAAAGUUGUCUUUUUUAAACUUUGUUUCAACCUUUUAAAAGUGUUUUUCCUUCGAC
ensembl:lncRNA